CUGUACUGCUUGUACGCUCUGGUCCCCCGCGCCGCCCGCACCCACCUGACGACCGCUCGCGGCGUUUUGUUAACC
rnacentral:sRNA from 1 species